rnacentral:lncRNA from 1 species
CACCAGGUCAUCCAGGCCCCAGCGCAGUGCGGCGCAGGAGCCCCAGGGACUCGUCCAGAGGGAAGAUUAAGCAUGGAGACAGUCACACAACACUGCCAUCUUUUACCCAAAUAAAUAGUCAUCACUUUACAGUCUUGUGCCAAAGCAUUAUCCAUUAGCCAGACUGCCUGAGAAAGGCAAAAGACUCCCGACAUCUGGAAAUCUUGCAGGCUUUCAAGGCUGCCUAUCUGCUUAUAAAACAAGGAUGUGUCCGUUAUAGCUUUAAGUCUGCACUCUAUGUCUAGCUCCUAAAACUAGAGUCUGCCAGGUUCCACGCUGAUGAUGCUCAUCUUCCUGGGUACAGAACAAAGACAAGAUAAGGUCAACCAUUCUUCUGCCACCCGCCAUCCUACAAGCCUUCUCCCUGUAAGGAAAUAUGUAAAUUCUAAACCUCCUGAAAACCUGUUUGGAUAACGUCAGACACAGACAUGUCUGUGACUUGUGUUUUUCCCCAACACACCCUCAAGCUCUGGCUUAAUAAAACUUGAUCAAUUGAGA